GACGAACGCUGGCGGCGUGCUUAACACAUGCCAGUCGAACGGUGAAGCGCCUUCCUUUUUGGUGGGUGUGGAUGAGUGGCGAACGGGUGAGUAACACGUGAGUAACCUGCCCCCCUCUUCUGGAUAACCGCAUGAAAGUGUGGCUAAUACGGGAUAUUCUGGGUCUGUCGCAUGAUGGGUCUGGGAAAGAUAUUGUUUCGGUGGGGGAUGGGCUCGCGGCCUAUCAGCUUGUUGGUGGGGUGAUGGCCUACCAAGGCGGUGACGGGUAGCCGGCCUGAGAGGGUGGACGGUCACACUGGGACUGAGACACGGCCCAGACUCCUACGGGAGGCAGCAGUGGGGAAUAUUGCACAAUGGGCGAAAGCGUGAUGCAGCGACGCCGCGUGAGGGAUGGAGGCCUGCGGGUUGUGAACCUCUUUCGCCAGUGAAGCAGGCCUGCCUCGUUUGUGGGUGGGUUGACGGUAGCUGGAUAAGAAGCGCCGGCUAACUACGUG
rnacentral:rRNA from 1 species